AUGAUCACCAUACUUAGGCAGCGAGAGGCAGUUGCCACAGGCCAGGACGAGCUUUCACGCAUGGUGGACGGGUUCUAUGAUCGCUUGUUGGGGAAGGCCCCGCUGCGGGCGCAAGCCCUCAAUCUGGAAGUCUUGAACCUGCCACAUAGAGACCUAGCGCACCUUGAGGUGCCUUCAACGGAGGAGGAGAUCGAGCAGGUAAUCAAGUCUAUACCCAUGGACAAGGCGUCGGGGCCGGACGGCUUCACCGGUAGAUUCUAUGUUUCCUGUUGGCCCACAAUCAAAGAUGACAUCAUGCAUGCCAUGGACCUUUUCCACCAAGGUGACAUGCGUGGGCUACCAGUGAUCAACAAAGCCAUUGUUACACUCCUUCCUAAGAUCGAUGGAGCAGUGGAUCUAAAGGACUUCUGA
rnacentral:rRNA from 1 species